rnacentral:rRNA from 1 species
GACGAACGCUGGAGGCGUGCUUAACACAUGCAAGUCGAACGAUGAAAUGGAGCUUGCUCCAUGGAUUAGUGGCGAAGGGGUGAGUAACACGUGAAUAACCUGCCCUUAAUUUUGGAAUAACCCAGGGAAACCUGGGCUAAUACCGGAUAAGUAAACCUGUGGCAUCACAUGGUUUUGGAAAGUUUUUCGAUUAAGGAUGGAUUCGCGGCCUAUCAGCUUGUUGGUGAGGUAAUGGCUCACCAAGGCGACGACGGGUAGCCGGCCUGAGAGGGUGAACGGCCACACUGGGACUGAGACACGGCCCAGACUCCUACGGGAGGCAGCAGUGGGGAAUAUUGCGCAAUGGACAAAAGUCUGACGCAGCGACGCCUCGUGAGGGACGAAGGUCUUCGGAUUGUAAACCUCUUUCAGCAGGGACGAAGCGAAAGUGACGGUACCUGCAGAAGAAGCACCGGCUAACUAUGUGCCAGCCGCCGCGGUAA